GGUAGCGAAGGUUCCGGUUGGCUGAGGUUGUGGCUGAUUUCAAAGCUGGAGGAAGAGGCUGUUUGACGGGAAGUGCAGGUAGCCUCCGGAGACGGAGAAAGCAGGAGAAGAGAGUCUUUGCCUAGAGUCUCCAGAACAGAACACAGCCCUGCAGACACCGUGGUUUUAACACAAAGGGAUGCAUUUGGUGUUCCGAGUUCCAGAACGCCAUUUGGACUGAGAAUAAAGAAGAAAACCAUCUUCAUGAGAGAACUGUUCUCAGAAAAGACUACACCAUAAAUGGCCGCAUGUGUUCAUUACUCUCGCAACUGGAAAGCGCAGAUUAACCCUAUUCAACUCUGGACUAUCAUGCAAAUGUAAUUUGUUAACGGAGCUGUGCUAAGACUAGAACGGAAGUUCUGAGUUCAAAUUCCAUGUUACGGAUAUAAGAAGUAAUGUACAUCUCCUAGGAUACCACACGGCACAGAAGAGGUACCAGCUAAAUGUUUGUCAUUUGCAGACAGUGACAAAGUCCCCAUCUCACAGAAAUUUGGCUUUAUUCCUGUUGAAGAGAAUCCUGCGUCACUCACGAAUGUACCGUAAAGAUCAAAAAAAUUCAAAUCUCAAAUUCUAACUUACAAGGACUCCUGAAAUGUGAGACCUUAUUGAAACGAAAGGCAAGAAAUUAUGGGGAAAUGGCAGUGUAGGUAGGCAGGUCCAACAGCCUAUUUUUUUUUAUUAUUUAAAAAAAUCAUUUGAGUUUAUUUUGUGAGCGAGCAAGUGAGCACAAGCAGGAGAAGGGCAGAGAGGAGAGACAGAAUCCCAGUCAGGCUCUGUACCAUUAGCACGGAGCUCAAUGUGGGCCUCGAACUCCUAAACCACGAGAUCAUAACCUGAGAAAGAUCAAGCCUGAUGCUUAACCUACUGAGCCACCCAGGUGCCCCUCUGCAGCCUAUAUUUCCAUGUAGGCAUCAAAUAAAUCAAGCAAAAUCAUCAGAAUCUUUGUCAGCUUCUGGAAAACAAAGUCUCCAGACACCAAGCGACUAUUCCUUGGUGAUGGGGCACGCGUGCUUACUGAGCAGGUUUCUUGGGGUUAAAUACUAUGAACUGGAGAGAGGUAGUGAUUAUGUGAUAUUGUGAGUAUACUACAGGCCACUGAAUUGUAUAUUUUUAAAAUGUUAUGAGAAAUGUCAUGUUCUACAUAUUCAUAAUCAUUGGCUAGAAUAGGAAAGAAACCUAAAUAUGCGAACCCUUUAAAUUCUGGCAAACUCAAAGUCCAAAUGGCCUUUCUGGUAAACUUUAUCAAAUAUUUGAAGAAAUUCCAAAGUUAGUUUAUCCAGAAGAGUAGGGGAACAACCGAACUUGUGUUGAUAUGUUCAGCCUGACCUUGAUGUCCGUACUUGAUAUUGAGGGUUAUCUGGAAAGGCUCCCUUUGGUAUGUGGAUAAUUUUGAAUCAAAAGCAAUAGUAAACUAGCAGAAGCAGGGAAAGCUCUUUACUUCCCCCUCACCGCUUAAAAAUAGAAGAUUCUCCUUUUGUUAAAGAAAAAUUGCAAAGGAACUUUCCACUUGUAAAGUCCUGGCGGAGAGCUAUUGGGACAACUCCUCAGGAACAUCUAAAAAUCCUUAAAAUAUUAUCGAAGGAAAUGUAACAAUACAUACUAAGAAUAAGGUCUUGACCAGGUAGGCUUAUCCCAAGAAUAGCUUAACAUUCAAAAAUGACUGGAGAGAGAUCACCACGCUCACAGAGUACAGGGGGAAAACCAUGAAACUUCAAUAAUUGCAGAGAAAAGCACACGAGAGUUUCGAGCACAAAACUAGCGUCCUGAAAAGAUACACUGAGUCUGUGAUGUAGGCAGCUUUGAUGUUUGCUUUCAGCUUAUAACUGUGAAUGUGUUCCGGCAGGGGGAGGGUACAGCAGCAUAAAGGCAGGAAAAUGCUGGUAGGUAACCAUUGGAAUGAACCACUGGAAUGAGACCUCCUAAGCAGAAGGAAAGCUACUAAGAUAUGAAUCCCAGGUACAUAUCUCUCUUUUCACACCUGUCAGAAACAGACUGGUACCUUACAUGAAACAGACCAAAUGAGAGACCCUAUAAAAGAUAGAGACCUAAUGCAAAGAUCAGAUGAAGUAAACACUAAACUUAAAUGAAAGGAAGUUAAGCGUUCCAAUUACCUAUCGUCUGUGCAGUAUAGGCUUUGUCAAAAAUACUUAAAAUUGGUUUUGAUUUUGAGAAUUCAUUGUGUGGGGUUAAUUUGAAAAUACGUUAAUCGUGUUUCAAAGCAGCAAUCAAGUAAACUAUAAAAUGAUAAUCUAGCAAAUGUCAUUUGUUACAAUAUUCAUGAAUUCAGUGAAUAAGAACUCCAAGUCCACAGAUUGAAGAAAAGUUAACACUGAUUACUAUAUCAAUUCUAAAAAAUAACAUCCAGCUUCUACACGGACUUGACUUCAAAACCAUUUCAGUAACCUCACAGGUCAAUUGUUGACAAUCUCAGAUAUUGUUUGUCCAUCAUUCUUGCUUGUGUAUAUAUAACCUAUGCAUGGUACAUAUAAUCUGUCCUGCAUAUACAUUCACUUAUUCUGGCCUCUGUUGUCAUUCUUACCUUGGAUCAAAUACACAAUAUUUUCUGUCA